AUGUAUAUUGCAAAUGUAUCGCACAUAUCAUUGAUAGACAUCAAAAAGUUUAAAUCCCUAACAAAAGUAACUGUUGGAAGAUGCGACGGUUUAUUCCCUGAAGAGCUGGAUGGCAGUAUUGUCUUCCAUUCAGUUAAGAGUCUCAAAUUACAUGUAUCUCAUCUUACCAGAAGCAAAUCAUCAUUGUCAAAAGUGCUAAACUGCUUCACAGCUCUUUCUAUGUUGGCGAUAGAUGGAGGCAAUGAGGAAUGUGUAAUACAGUUACCAUCAUCCAGCUCACUGCAGAAACUUAGCUUCUGGGACUGUAAGAGGCUGGGUCUUGUGCCUGUGGAGGAGAAUGGAGGAGGAAUGCAGGAGGACAAGUCAUUGCUCCAAUCAUUAACAAUAAAGGGAUGUGGCAAACUCUUCUCUCGUUGGCCCAUGGAGACCAUUUGCCCUUUCCCUGCUUCCCUGAAGAAACUUAAUGUUAAGGGAGAGACAAGCAUGAAGUCAAUGGCUCUGCUCUCAAACCUCACGUCUCUCACCACUCUAAAGCUAAGCUGCUGCAGUAAUUUAACAGUGGACGGAUUCAGUCCUCUCAUCGCAGUUAGCCUCAUACAACUGGAAGUGCAUAGGUGCAACACCCCUAGAUUAGCAGCAGAUAUGCUCUCAGAGGUAGCCUUUCAGAGGGCCAAAUUAUUGCCUGCAGGUUACAUCUCUAGAUUGGAGAAACUCAGUGUGGGUGACAUCUCUGGAUUGCUUAUUUCUCCUAUUUGCAACCUCCUCGCCCCGGCCCUCCACACACUUGUAUUCAUGUUUGAUUGGAGGAUGGAAAGCUUGACGGAAGAGCAAGAGAAAGCACUGCAGCUCCUCUCCGUCCUCCAGAAUCUAAGGUUUUACUCCUGCAUACAUCUGCAGUCCCUUCCUCAAGGGUUACAUCGCCUUUCUUCUCUCAAGGAGUUAUGUGUCAUUAGCUGUCCAAAUAUCCGAUCGAUGCCCAAGGAGGGCCUCCCGGUUUCGCUGAGAAAACUCCAGAUGAAUGAUUGCAGCGCUGAGAUAGAUGAACAGAUUGAGAAAAUCAAAAGAACCAACCCAGAUUUAUCCGUCGAAGAUGACUAA
rnacentral:rRNA from 1 species